rnacentral:rRNA from 1 species
GACGAACGCUGGCGGCGUGCUUAACACAUGCAAGUCGAACGAAGUGGCGAACGGGUGAGUAACGCGUAAUCAACCUGCCCUUCAGAGGGGGACAACAGUUGGAAACGACUGCUAAUCCCGCAUACUGAAGGAGGGGAAUGCGUCUGAUUAGCUAGUUGGAGGGGUAACGGCCCACCAAGGCGAUGAUCAGUAGCCGGGCUGGGAGGAUGGAAGGCCACAUUGGGAAUUGGAAACGGCCCAGACUCCUACGGGAGGACGCAGUGGGGAAUCUUCCGCAAUGGACGAAAGUCUGACGGAGCAACGCCGCGUGAGUGAUGACGGCCUUCGGGUUGUAAAGCUCUGUUAAUCGGGACGCGGUACCGGAAUAGAAAGCCACGGCUAACUACGUGCCAGCAGCCGCGGUAAUAC